rnacentral:rRNA from 1 species
GAUGAACGCUGGCGGCGUGCCUAAUACAUGCAAGUCGAGCGAACAGACGAGGAGCUUGCUCCUCUGACGUUAGCGGCGGACGGGUGAGUAACACGUGGAUAACCUACCUAUAAGACUGGGAUAACUUCGGGAAACCGGAGCUAAUACUGGAUAAUAUAUUGAACCGCAUGGUUCAAUAGUGAAAGACGGUUUUGCUGUCACUUAUAGAUGGAUCCGCGCCGCAUUAGCUAGUUGGUAAGGUAACGGCUUACCAAGGCGACGAUGCGUAGCCGACCUGAGAGGGUGAUCGGCCACACUGGAACUGAGACACGGUCCAGACUCCUACGGGAGGCAGCAGUGGGGAAUCUUCCGCAAUGGGCGAAAGCCUGACGGAGCAACGCCGCGUGAGUGAUGAAGGUCUUCGGGUCGUAAAACUCUGUUAUUAGGGAAGAACAAAUGUGUAAGUAACUAUGCACGUCUUGACGGUACCUAAUCAGAAAGCCAUGGCUAACUACGUG